rnacentral:sRNA from 1 species
UUGCUAUAAUCGUUGAUAGUCAUUAGUUGCAGAUGGGAGGGAAGCAAGUCCUGAUUACUGAUCUAGAGAUGCUGGGGUAAAAAUAAGGAACUGGGCUGGGGAUCAGAGAGAGGAUAAUGAUUGGCCGACAGAGAUGUUGCUUCUUCUUUCGCUCAUGAGUGUGAUGAUGAUGGCAGUUACAGGUAACACGACG